UUGCGGUUAAAAAGCUCGUAGUUGGAUCUCGGCAAGUAGAGGGCGGUAUGCUUCGUAGCAUUACUGCCCUAUUACUUGUAGUUUUGCCAGAGGUUCCUGGGUGCUCUUAAUCGAGUGUCUAGGGAUGCUGGCAGGUUUACUUUGAAAAAAUUAGAGUGCUCAAAGCAGGCUAUUACGCUUGAAUAUUCGUGCAUGGAAUAAUAGAAUAGGAAGUUGUUUCUAUUUUGUUGGUUUUCGGAAAUCGACUUAAUGAUUAAUAGGGACAGUCGGGGGCAUUUGUAUUCAAACGACAGAGGUGAAAUUCUUGGACCGUUUGAAGACAAACUACUGCGAAAGCAUUUGCCAAGAAUGUUUUCAUUAAUCAAGAACGAAAGUUAGAGGUUCGAAGGCGAUUAGAUACCGCCCUAGUUCUAGCCAUAAACGAUGCCAGCUAGCGAUCUGAGGACGUUUUUUUUGUAGACUCCUCAGGAAGCUUCCGGGAAACCAAAGCGUGUGGGUUCCGGGGGAAGUAUGGUUGCAAAGCUGAAACUUAAAGGAAUUGACGGAAGGGCACCACCAGGAGUGGAGCCUGCGGCUUAAUUUGACUCAACA
rnacentral:rRNA from 1 species